CUUCCGGGUGGCACAUUACACAUGAAAUCACUGCACUAGAUUAGCAGAAAUGGUACCUCGAAGAAAUGAGAGAUAUGUUACUUUGCCUUGUAUAUGCAUAGGUGCGGGUCAUUUGAAUAUAUUUGUUCUUCCUUUGCAGAGGCAAUGUGUCAAAAUAAAUUUAAGAAUUUGAAAGACAACUUCACGAAAAUCAAAACUAAACUAAAAGACAAAGCAAGAAGUGGAGCCGGAGCCAAAGAUGUACCGACCGUUAAAUGGAAACACUUCGAAGCCAUGAUACCAAUCAUGGAGAAGCUGCACGAAGAGCCCAUAAUUUGCACGAACAUCACCUUUGUGCAGACAGGAGGAUCUGAAGUGUCCGCCGAAGGAUCGAGUGAUGACAAACAGCUGGAACCGCCUGCCACAGACAAUCUUGAAGUGGAGUGGUCCGAGCUUGACGCAGGCACCAGCAGUUCAACCACCACA
rnacentral:lncRNA from 1 species